GAGACAGAGCAUGAACAGGGGAGGGGCAGAGAGAGAGGGAGACACAGAAUCGGAAGCAGGCUCCAGGCUCUGAGCCAUCAGCCCAGAGCCCGACGCGGGGCUCAAACUCACGGACCGCGAGAUUGUGACCUGAGCUGAAGUCGGACGCCCAACCGACUGAGCCACCCAGGCAUCCCUAAAUCUUUGUGGUUUCUAAGUCACUGAGGUUGUGCUAGCUUGUCACAGCGGUGACAGGAAACCAGUUCAGGGCACUAGGUCUUUCCUAAAUCUUUGGCCUCCAAACAUUUUGAUCACUCACCCGUUAAAAAAUUGAUCAUUCUGUACGUUCAUGUAUUAUACGUCAUACCCUAAUGUAGACAGUUCAAAGGGCGUUCCUUCCAGCUCCGGCAGCAGUCAUGGUGGAGAUCCCGGCCCCAGGCAGUCAAGACCAGGCCUGGAGCCCUCGGGGUGCCUCUGCAAGCAACAGGGACCUUCUGGGAGGAGAGCGGGGGUGGGCCAGGUUCUGAGCCCUGUUGGCAGGUGGCCCUGGAGGCUCUGGCCUCUACUGUGAAGGAGCUGGUGGCUUGAGGUCAGGCCACGCGGUGAGUUGGGGCUUCUGGGGUGCUGGGCCUGGUUAACGAGACUGAGUCAGCCCACGGUCAGCCUUGCUGGUGCAGCAGCCGUGGAGGGAGGUCCGGCUGGCUGAGGGCCGGCCUUGGCCGCCGGGGCCCAGGGUCGGCCUGUGAGAGCCCUCCUGGCACCUCAGAGCCUGGGCUAGGGGGUGUCCACAGAUGCUCUAAAGGGUACGUUGAUGGGGCGGUGGUGAUAGAGGCGUGAGCCCGAGGCCUGACAGUUGAGGAGCUGGCGGGAUGUGACAAGAGGGCACGUGUCAGGGCCAAGUAGCUUCUGUUCGUGGAGGGUGAGAAGGUGCAGAAAGGCAGCCGGGUCUGUUGAAUACUUUUGAUGUGCUGGGUGAGCUGCGUCCAUGUCCCUACCUGAGAUCGUCACACUGUGGGACCUCAGGCAAAUGGUUUGACCUCUCUGUGCCUCCGUUGCUGUUUGUAAAACAGAUAUUUCGAGGCUUAAAUGAGAUAAUCCACAGCACCUGCCAUAGUGAAUGCCCAGCAGAGGUGGCUUCAUUCAUUCCCCAAGCUGUCACUGAGCACCUGCUGGGCACCAGCGGCUGUUCCAAGCACUUGGGGUCCACACACUCGUGAACCAAAGUGACCAAGGACCGUGAUCUUUUGGGGUUUUAUUCUCCUACUGUUUCGUUUCUCCUGAAAGCCCAGGGAGUCUGGAUUCAGACCCCGAGCUGCACCUAUUCCAGGAGGAGCCUACUGAGAGCUCAUGGGAGGGCAGGGGUCUUGCUUGGGGUCACACGUCAUGUCAUGAGACGAGCCUUUAGGGCUGGUUGGACAGAGCUGCCAGAGCCCCUCCAUUCGGCUCCGCCCCUCCCUGUCCUGCAGCCCAUGUCAGCCCAUCCCAUCAUCUCCCGGGGGUACCUGGAGAUCCUCGAACAGCGCUGGGCACGUGGGGUCCCCACGGGCAGGGGUGCAGAGCUGUGGGAUCAGACCUCCCCAUCCCCGCUUGAAGGCAUCUUCUCCAGAAGCUUUCAGGGCUUCGAACCAAAGUGGCUGGAUGCGUGGAUUGGGGUAUAGGUGGAGGGCUGGUCUGAGGCUGGUGGAGGCAACUCUUGGGGCUACGUGGCCAGGUUUUCAGUCUAUAGAGAGGCUUUGGAGAGAAGACCAGAGGAAAAUGGGGAAUCUGCCUUUCCCUGAGUUUGGAGGGGGUGUAGACUCGAGGCGGGAUCUGCUCACCCGGGUAGGUGAUUUCAUUUCCACCUGGGCUCUGAGGCUGCAGGCGAACACCAGGCCAGGGAGUCCAUGUCCAGGCUCCCAGUGUGGACUCGGACCUGGUCUGAAUGCCAAACUCACAUGCUAGCGGGGCUGGUUCCCAGGGCUGCUGGGUAAGAGCCAGUGAUGGGAGAAAUGUCCUUUUCUCCCUUUGAAAUAUAUGCCUCGACUUAACCUGCUACACGCCAUUUCCUUCUGAACAGAGUUGCCAACCGCCUGACUUAUUUACCAUCUAUUUGCAAACCAGCAGUUAAGGGCUAAAACCGCAGCAGGGGGCCUGAUUAGGUCUGACGGGACAUUGUCAGGCGUGGCCUGUCCUUUUUUCUGUAACAUCCUGGAAGUUCUCAGCCACGAUUAAAAUAAAAUUUAAAAAAAGCAUCAAUGAGAGUUAGCCAGUGUCAAACCCAGAGCAUUCUACCUGAUUUAUGGGCCAGUAAAUUGAGGCUGUGCCUGGGUUCUCCCUGGAGUUUGAGACUAGUUUUUCCCCAGAGCUGUGACCAGGGCCAUGCUGGUGGGGAGGUGACUUCAGCUGACUUGGGCCUUCUGGAUGCCUGCCAGGCUGGGACUUGAAGGCGCCAAGGUAGAAACCCUCUUGCCCACCCCUCCCCCGCCCCGUAGCCCAAUAAAUACACCUGUGGCCACUAGGGGGCGCUGGAGCUAACCCGAGGCUACAUCACCCCUGGUAGAAAGAGGAAGACCCACUGGGCAACCAUUUGUCAGGAGGGCUAAAUCUUAAAUAGCACUGAGUGAAGAAAAAUAAAAAGGCCACGAUAUCUGUAGAAUAAUAUGUAUACACGUUUAAAACACAUGCAAACAUAAAAUAAUGUAAAAACAGGAAGGAAGACAAA